rnacentral:ncRNA from 1 species
AGUCUGGGGAAUGCGAUCUCCCCACGAGGCGACAUGCCGAAGAAUCGCGUCCCAGCAUGGAGGACGCAUCAUG